rnacentral:rRNA from 1 species
UAGAGUUUGAUCAUGGCUCAGAUUGAACGCUGGCGGCAGGCCUAACACAUGCAAGUCGAGCGGUAACAGAAAGUAGCUUGCUGCUUUGCUGACGAGCGGCGGACGGGUGAGUAAUGCCUGGGAAUAUGCCUUGAUGUGGGGGAUAACCAUUGGAAACGAUGGCUAAUACCGCAUAAUGUCUUCGGACCAAAGAGGGGGACCUUCGGGCCUCUCGCGUCAAGAUUAGCCCAGGUGGGAUUAGCUAGUAGGUGAGGUAAUGGCUCACCUAGGCGACGAUCUCUAGCUGGUCUGAGAGGAUGAUCAGCCACACUGGAACUGAGACACGGUCCAGACUCCUACGGGAGGCAGCAGUGGGGAAUAUUGCACAAUGGGCGCAAGCCUGAUGCAGCCAUGCCGCGUGUGUGAAGAAGGCCUUCGGGUUGUAAAGCACUUUCAGUCGUGAGGAAGGCAGUUGCGUUAAUAGCGUAAUUGUUUGACGUUAGCGACAGAAGAAGCACCGGCUAACUCCGUGCCAGCAGCCGCGGUAAUACGGAGGGUGCGAGCGUUAAUCGGAAUUACUGGGCGUAAAGCGCAUGCAGGUGGUUAGUUAAGUCAAAUGUGAAAGCCCGGGGCUCAACC